rnacentral:rRNA from 1 species
AUACGGAGGGUGCAAGCGUUAUCCGGAUUUAUUGGGUUUAAAGGGUCCGUAGGCGGAUCUGUAAGUCAGUGGUGAAAUCUCAUAGCUUAACUAUGAAACUGCCAUUGAUACUGCAGGUCUUGAGUAAGGUAGAAGUAGCUGGAAUAAGUAGUGUAGCGGUGAAAUGCAUAGAUAUUACUUAGAACACCAAUUGCGAAGGCAGGUUACUAUGUCUUAACUGACGCUGAUGGACGAAAGCGUGGGGAGCGAACAGCAUUAGAAACCCCAGUAGUCC